CCUACGGGAGGCAGCAGUGAGGAAUAUUGGUCAAUGGGCGAAGGGCUGAACCAGCCAAGUCGCGUGAGGGAUGACGGCCCUACGGGUUGUAAACCUCUUUUGUCGGGGAGCAAAUUCCGUUACGUGUAACGGAGUCGAGAGUACCCGAAGAAAAAGCAUCGGCUAACUCCGUGCCAGCAGCCGCGGUAAU
rnacentral:rRNA from 1 species